UCGUACUACAGAGGUGCGAGGGCUGUCGCUGACCUUUUUCAAAGGUCGUGCACGCCUGAGCGCUCUUGCCUACCAUCCACCUCACCACUUGUGCAUCACCGCGCGGGGCCCCCCUCUCGGCUCGCUUCGAGAGAGGCUCGCGUUCUUCACAUCACACACAUACCUUUUUAGUUUUGAAUGUCAUUCAUUUGCGAUAACACGCAAUCAAUA
rnacentral:misc_RNA from 1 species